ACCUCGGAUCAGGUAGGAAUACCCGCUGAACUUAAGCAUAUCAAUAAGCGGAGGAAAAGAAACCAACAGGGAUUGCCCUAGUAACGGCGAGUGAAGCGGCAACAGCUCAAAUUUGAAAUCUGGCCUUCGGGUCCGAGUUGUAAUUUGUAGAGGAUGCUUUUGGUGAGGUACCUUCCGAGUUCCCUGGAACGGGACGCCAUAGAGGGUGAGAGCCCCGUCUGGUUGGAUACCGAUCCUCUGUAAAGCUCCUUCGACGAGUCGAGUAGUUUGGGAAUGCUGCUCUAAAUGGGAGGUAUAUGUCUUCUAAAGCUAAAUAUUGGCCAGAGACCGAUAGCGCACAAGUAGAGUGAUCGAAAGANGAAAAGCACUUUGAAAAGAGAGUUAAAAAGUACGUGAAAUUGUUGAAAGGGNAAGCGCUCAUGACCAGACUUGGGCUUGGUUGAUCAUCCAGGGUUCUCCCUGGUGCACUCUUCCAGCCCAGGCCAGCAUCAGUUCGCUGUGGGGGAUAAAGGCUUCGGGAAUGUGGNU
rnacentral:rRNA from 1 species